CAAGCCUGCAAACUUUAGCUGAAAAAGCUAAUGCUAAUGCUAAUGCUGCUGCAUUGGCACUACGCAGAGAAGGAGACCACAGGAUAUUGUAUGAGGUGCCUCAUGUGAUCCAAGUUAGCUGUACGCUUUUUCCAAUGGACUCUCAGUGCUCUAAUGUACCAGUUGCAAAAGAAAUACAGUUUGUCAAGGAUCUCCACAUUGGCCUGGUACAAGUUCCAGGCUGUGUUCAAAGGCGACAGGGAAGGGUAAACCAGUUCAGAUGGUGCCGUCCCAAUCUGUGUGUUGAAUGGAUCUUAACCUGUUUGAGUGCCAAUUUGGUGAUGAUUUGGAUGCGAUCAUCAAGUUUGUUUGUCUGAAGAUAAUCAAGCCCCAUUUCUUCUUGUUUUUGAUGGAUCCAGUCAAGAUGGAACUUGA